ensembl:snRNA U1 U1 spliceosomal RNA
AUACUUAUGUGGCAGGGAAGAUAACCAUAAUCACAAAAAAUGUUCUCUCAGGUGGAGACUAGUAAAUUGCACUCAGGCCAUUCUGACCCCUGUGAUUUCCCCAAAUGUGGGAAACUCAACGGGUUCAAGGUUUC